CUAGAUUAGCAGGCUCUUACCCUACAACCUUUUAGUUAACAGCUAAACGCUCUAUACUACGAGCUUUAAUCUA
rnacentral:tRNA from 1 species